CCACAAUGAAGGCAUGAACAAGCUGGUCCAUGCAUGGUUCUGGCUGUACCACAGCAGGAAAAUAUGCAUAUAGCCCAGAUGUGGUGAUUUCAAGAUGAAAGGAAGAGCUGAGAAGCUUGAGAGAGCUGGAGGAACAAGGAGAAGCUAAAAGGAUAGCAGAAGAUGAGGCACUGGGGAGCUAUUAGACAUACAAUGUUCAACCUUGGUUGCUGAGGAUAAAUGCAAAAGAAAAUCAUCAAGGCUAUCUUGCAUACCAUGGCUCUUUGAGGUUCACGUUGAGGAACGAAGAGCUCAAGAUUUUGUUUUGUUCAUGAAGAUGCAUAAUCAAGAGGAACCACGAGGAUUCCUAAGAACACUUGAGGUGCAGCAACAUCACUUAACCUUUUCAUGUUACCCUAGAUGAUUUAUCAUCCUUGCUUGCCCCUCCCGACAAGGAUUCAUAUCAAGAGUUCAAUACUUGUUGGGGGUUCCUCGCAAUGCACGCACAGAGAGGCAUAAUUUCUUUGCUUCCCCCAUCAUCUCUGCAAUAAUAUGGCGUGCAUGUGCAAAAAGAAGGAUCUGAUGGUCUACUAAGGGCUUAUAGGAAUGAAGAGCGGCUUAUCUUCUUUACGUGUUUAUCUGGUAAAUAUUCAUCUCUCAGGCAAUACAAAUCGUAUGGUUACAAGUUCAACAACAACAUGGGGAGCACUGGCGUGGUAGUCCGACGGUAGAGGGAUGGCUGGGCAACAGCCUACCGAGGAGUUGGAGGGAGGGCUUGAUUGGGCCACACCUGUCCACGAGGGCUCGUUGGUGGACUAAUCAAGAAGGGGGGAGGGGCUGGGUGUAUCUGCAACACGCGGUUCCGGCUGGUGUGCUCCUCGGCGGUGUCCGGGACAGGUGGAUGUGUGGGCGGCUGCGUGUGUGAGUGUGCUUCGGUGAUGCGUGAAGAGGACGCGGGGUGGCCAGUGCGGUGCCCUGGUGAGCAGGUGGUUUGAUCCGGACGAAUUUGGCCAUCGUGGCUCGACGUUGGACUUGCUGGUGCAUGUUGUGCAGAGCUCGAGAGGUUGAUCCGGGCGAAAGCUUGUCUCCGGAGUUUCCAAGAGCCGGUGAUGGCAAAGCUUUCGAGUGUCGUUUCCUUCCUAUGGGCAUCGCCAAGGUAUUCUCAGCCGCAAUUUAUGCUGCUUCGGAGGAAACUCUAGAGUGUCGUUUCCUUCCUAUGGGCAUCGCCGAGGUAUUCUCAGCCGCAAUUUAUGCUGCUUCGGAGGAAACUCUAGAUUCAUGUGAUCGGACGAUGACGGUGCUUUGGCAUCAU